GUAACGGCGAGUGAAGCGGCAACAGCUCAAAUUUGAAAUCUGGCUCUCGGGCCCGAGUUGUAAUUUGUAGAGGAUGCUUUUGGUGAGGUGCCUUCCGAGUUCCCUGGAACGGGACGCCAUAGAGGGUGAGAGCCCCGUCUGGUUGGACACCGAUCCUCUGUAAAGCUCCUUCGACGAGUCGAGUAGUUUGGGAAUGCUGCUCUAAAUGGGAGGUAUAUGUCUUCUAAAGCUAAAUACCGGCCAGAGACCGAUAGCGCACAAGUAGAGUGAUCGAAAGAUGAAAAGAACUUUGAAAAGAGAGUUAAAAAGUACGUGAAAUUGUUGAAAGGGAAGCGCUUGUGACCAGACUUGGGCUUGGUUGAUCAUCCGGGGUUCUCCCCGGUGCACUCUUCCGGCUCAGGCCAGCAUCAGUUCGCCCUGGGGGAUAAAGGCUUCGGGAAUGUGGCUCUCUCCGGGGAGUGUUAUAGCCCGCUGCGUAAUACCCUGUGGCGGACUGAGGUUCGCGCAUUCGCAAGGAUGCUGGCGUAAUGGUCAUCAGUGACCCGUCUUGAAACACGGACCAAGGAGUCGUCUUCGUAUGCGAGUGUUCGGGUGUCAAACCCCUACGCGAAAUGAAAGUGAACGCAGGUGAGAGCUUCGGCGCAUCAUCGACCGAUCCUGAUGUUAUCGGAUGGAUUUGAGUAAGAGCAUACGGGGCCGGACCCGAAAGAAGGUGAACUAUGCCUGUGUAGGGUGAAGCCAGAGGAAACUCUGGUGGAGGCUCGCAGCGGUUCUGACGUGCAAAUCGAUCGUCAAACAUGGGCAUGGGGGCGAAAGACUAAUCGAACCUUCUAGUAGCUGGUUUCCGCCGAAGUUUCCCUCAGGAUAGCAGUGUUGAACUCAGUUUUAUGAGGUAAAGCGAAUGAUUAGGGACUCGGGGGCGCUAUUUAGCCUUCAUCCAUUCUCAAACUUUAAAUAUGUAAGAAGCCCUUGUUGCUUAAUUGAACGUGGGC
rnacentral:rRNA from 1 species